rnacentral:rRNA from 1 species
UAGGGAAUCUUCCGCAAUGGGCGAAAGCCGGACGGAGCAACGCCGCGUGAGUGAUGAAGGUCUUCGGAUCGUAAAACUCUGUUAUUAGGGAAGAACAAAUGUGUAAGUAACUAUGCACGGCUUGACGGUACCUAAUCAGAAAGCCACGGCUAACUACGUGCCAGCAGCCGCGGUAAUACGUAGGUGGCAAGCGUUAUCCGGAAUUAUUGGGCGUAAAGCGCGCGUAGGCGGUUUUUUAAGUCUGAUGUGAAAGCCCACGGCUCCACCGUGGAGGGUCUUUGGACACUGGAACACUUGAGUGCAGAAGAGGCAAGUGGACUUCCAUGUGUAGCGGUGAAAUGCGCAGAUCUAUGGAGGCACACCAGUGGCGAAGGCGACUUUCUGGUCUGUAACUGACGCUGAUGUGCGAAAGCGUGGGGAUCAAACCGG